rnacentral:tRNA from 1 species
ACCUGGCUGGCUCAGUUAGUAGAGCAUGAGACUCUUGAUCUCGGGGUGGUAAGUUCGAGCCCCACAUUGGGUG